AACGUGAGCUGUAUUAGAUACCAGCAUUUAAAGAACAAGAGGUUUUGGGAUAACAACAUGAAUUCCUUCUCAGGGUUUUCCAGCUUCAUGCUCUUUGUGUUCCUAAUCCUGUUUUGCUCCAAUGGUGUUAUAACGCGCAGCAUCCGGAAGCUCCAACGUGAUAAUAGGGAUUUAAACAAUCGUCACCUUCCCACUUUCUUUGAAUCAGUACCACAGUGCAGUAGAAUGUACAACCAGUAUGUGGUAAAAGCAGAAAAGGUCGUGAGGCCUUUGAAGUAUCUUCCUUGGAUAAUGAUGGGACCUUUGAAACACUCCGGAGUAAGGGUCACUGUGGCAGGUGGACAAAAUGUCUUAUUCAUAAGGGAGUAGAAAUUCUUGCCAGGAUUGGUAAAUCUAAAACCGUGGUUGAGGACGCUAAACACUUGGCAAAUGCAUGGAAGGUAGAGGAAGAAAGACCAGCAUAUAAAAGAAAAAUGCUUGAAUUAUCCGUGCUUGUGGUGAAGAUUAUGAUGUUUUAAACAGACAACUGUCACGACUGUACGGAAAGAAUGAUGGAGCUGGCUGGCACAUCCUAUUUUUAGGCUGUGAUCUUUUUAAACCUCGUUUUGUAAUCACCUAGUUGUUCGCUGACAUCAAAUCACACUGAGACUUUUGGUUAUAUUUUAAAAUCUAUUUAUUUUUUCAUAAAUAAUAUACUUUAUCAACCUUAUUUUCUUGUCCUAUUUCCUGCUUAUUGUUAUGAAGAUAUUUUAAAUUAAAAACUUAACUAUGAGAAUAAUAUUUUGAAUUCUAAAGUAAACGUGUAUGGCAUGCAACUAACUCUAUUAUAUUUAAGCAUUUUAAAGUUGGUUUAAUCUGUGAUUCAGAGUAUGCAGAACAGAACACAUUAAUCCUUCUAUCAAAUGAUACAGAUCUUAGCAAAAUAAUGGAGACAAAAGAGGAACUUUGUCUUGCACUUCCUCUACUUGUGAACAAAUCAUUGGGUAUUAGUCGAUUUCCACAGGAUUGAAGCAAGCAAGUAUAAAUUUUAUAUUUCAAAAAGCAGGAAGCUAAUCAAUCACUGAAAAACAAAGGACUGCAGAUGCUGGCAUCCAGAUGAAAAAACAACAAGAUGCUGGAGGAACUCAACAGGUCAGGCAGCAUCCAUGGAGAAAAGCAGACAGCCACCUAUGCCUGCCUUUUUGUUGGCUACAUUGAACAGUCUCUGUUCCAAGUCUACUCCGGCCCCAUUCCUCAACUCUUUUUCCGCUAUAUCGACGACUGCAUUGGUGCCACCUCUUGCACCAGUGCGGAACUCAACAGCUUCAUAAAUUCCGCCACCAAUUUUCACCCAGCUCUCUAAUUCACUUGGACUAUCUCUGACACGUCUCUCCCCUUUCUCAAUCUCUCCAUCUCAGGAGAUUCAUUAUCCACCAACAUCUUCUACAAACCCACUGACGCCCACAGCUACCUUGAUUACAGCUCCUCCCACCCUGUCUCUUGCAAGGACGCUAUCCCUUUCUCAUAAUUUCUCUGCCUCCGUCGCAUCUGCUCCCAUGAUGAGGCUUUCCACUCCAGGACAUCUGACAUGUCCAACUUCUUUACUAACUGUGGUUUCCCUCCUACUGUGGUCGAGAGAGCUCGCACCCGUAUCUCUGCCAUUUCCCGCACCUCUGCUCUCACCCCCACCCCUCCCAUUCCCAAUAGGGAUAGGAUCCCCCUUGUCCUCACAUUUCAUCCCACCAGCCUAUGUAUCCAACACAUCAUUCUCUGCCACUUCUGCCAUCCCCAACGGGAGCCCACCACCAAGCAUAUCUUCCCCUCCCCAGCCCUUUCUGCCUUUCGCAUGGACCGCUCUCUCCGCGACUCCCUAGUUCACUACUCCUCCCCCCCACCCAUCCCGCUCCCACCCCAAGAACUUUCCACUGCCCCUGCCAUAGGUGCAACACCUGCCCCUACACCACCUCCAUCCAGGUACCCAAACAGUCCUUUCAGAUGAGGCAGAGAUUUACCUGCACCUCCCCUAAUAUCAUCUACUACAUUCGGUGCUCCAAGUGUGGCCUCCUCUACAUUGGUGAGACCAAACACAGACUAGGUGACCGUUUCGUAGAACACGUACACUCCAUCUGUAACCACGACCUGCAUUUCCCUGUUGCCAGUCACUUCAACUCCCCCUCCCACUCCAUCACUGAUAUGCCAGUCCUCGGCCUCCUCCACUACCGGGAGAAGUCCAAACGCAAACUGGAGGAACAGCACCUCAUUUUCCGUCACGGGACCUUACAGCCAAACGGGAUGAACAUCGAAUUCUCCUACUUUAAGUAAACCAACCCCCCCUGCCUCCCACCUUGCCUCUUUUCUUUACUUCCCUUUCCUAGCCUCUCUCUCUUUUUAUUCUCCUCACCAUUUUUUUCUCUCUCCUUUUCCUCUCCUCCCCUCCCCCCAUGCCACCUGCCUCCAUACUUCUGACCCAUCCCCCAGUGGAUCUGCUCUCCCCUCUUCCCCCACAACUACCUAUCAUUAUCUCUUACCUGCAUCUACCUAUCACCACCUCGUGCCCACCCCGCCUCUCCUCUUUUGUCCACCUAUCACUACUCUGUUUUACCACCCCACCCCCCCAUACAUUGGGCUUCACCUUAUCCCAUCUUCAGUCCUGAAGAAGGAUCCUGACCCGAAAUGUUGACUGCUUGCUUGCAUCCACAGAUGCUGCCUGGCCUGCUGAGUUCCUCCAGCAUCUUUUUGUUUUUUCAAUCAAUGGAUAAGAAUUUUAAUUCUGGGGCAUAUGUAUACAUAUACUAUAAAAAAUAGCCAGCAUCAAUUUGUAGAAUUAUGAUCAUGUUUGGCAAAACUCCUUAACAAUGAGCAUUGAAUAUUUAUUUAGAUUGUCACAUGUUCCUAACAAGGUUCCACAUGGAGGAUUUUUAGCAGUGUACAACAUGUUGGUAGAUUAAGUUAAAGAAACUGAGACCAACCUUGAGAGGUGUAAUGCUGCGGGAGCUGCGAAGUGAAGGAAAUAACAGGCCAAUGACCAGAUACCUGCUGUUUCUUAUCUAAUAAAUGAUUUAAAUGCUGAAACUAGAUGUGAGGUUCUUAAAUUAAAGGUGAACAGUUGGUGCAAGAGACAUAGUUAACACUUUAUACAAGAACUUAGAUCAGUUAGAUAGCUGAAUAUGGAAAUGCAAUUUGAUACUGGCAAAAGUAAAGUGAAAAAUGAACAAUAUAUCUUUACCACAAAAUGAAGAGAAUCAGCACAAAAGACUUAACAAGGAGCAAAGAAGUAGAAUUAAUCUAAUCACUCGUAAUUAAAAAUACUCUGGAUAAGAAAAUAAAACAAAUAGAUUGUUAGGAUACAGAACCAGUGUUCAGGAGGGUAAGGAUGCAAGGUUAUGUUAUGGCUUUAUAACAUACAGACACAGGUUGUAAAAUUAAUAUGUUAGAAGGAAAGAUGAUAGAGAUACAAGUUUCACAAUCUAGAGAAAGAUUUAAAGAAGUGGAGCUGAUCUCAACAUGUAAGUUAUUAAAUAAUAAGUAAGCUGAAGCCAAAAUAUUAUCUCAAAAUAAGUAAAAAUGAUGAGAGGAUAUAAUUUUAAAUUAGUAAAGAUUAAGGUAAAAUGAGAUUUAAUCAAGAAUUUGGAACAUUUUACCAACAGAGGUACGAGAUUCAAGAACAUGAGUAUUCAAAAUGGAUCUAAAUACAAGGUUUGAAAAGCUACCUAGCUUAGAUAGGCUGAAUAGUCUUUUCUGGUCCUCAUCUCUUCCUUAUUUUCUUAUAACAUGAGAGAUCACCUGCUUGAUCAAAUUUACAGCUGCUAAGAAUAAAUAUUAAACUAGGCUCAUUGCUAUCUGGACAGAUAUAUUUUUAAGAAUAACUGUUUGUUCUUUCUAAGGGAUGAUACAAUCCAGUGAAAACAUAAAAAGUUCAGAGAAACUAAUAUUUUGGCUAUUCAAGUAAACUGCUGGUACGUUAGUACAUCUGCAUCACUCAGUAUGAUAUAUAUAAAAUCUGUUGUUCCAUAUGUAUUAGUAAAUUCUUAUGGUCAUUUCCUGCUGUCAUGCUUACUUCUUCAGUUACUGGUGAAGAUUCGCCUGAUUUCUAAAUCUAAAUUCAAUGGCAAUCCCUAAUCCACAGACUGUAAGGAAUACAAGUCAGUUCUGAUCUUAUUAGGCCUGAAUUUGUAGUUGUAAUGAGGGGAAACUAACAGCUGUCAAUACACUGUAAGGCACAAUUAAAUGGAGAAUUCCAAAAGUUGCUGACAGUGAUAGUUUGUUCCUUCACAGAUUGUACUGUUACAACCUGUGCACAUCUCUUCUACAAUGAAUCAUACUAGAUUCAAUUUCUUAUAUUCUAUUCUCUUGACUUAAUAACAGUUUACUGAAAUACUAUUACUGCUGAACAACCUCUCUGAUCCUGCAAGACCAAUUAAGAUGUAUAGA